rnacentral:rRNA from 1 species
UACGUAGGGUCCGAGCGUUGUCCGGAGUUACUGGGCGUAAAGCGCGCGCAGGCGGCCGUUCAAGUCUGGCGUGAAAGCCCCCGGCUCAACCGGGGAGGGUCGUCGGAGACUGGGCGGCUUGAGGGCGGUAGGGGCUGGUGGAAUUCCCGGUGUAGUGGUGAAAUGCGUAGAGAUGUGGAGGAAUACCGAUGGCGAAGGCAGCCCCCUGGGCCAAUACUGACGCUCAUGCACGAAAGCGUGGGGAGCAAACAGG